AGGACGAACGCUGGCGGCGUGCCUAACACAUGCAAGUGGAGCGACGACCCAGGCUUCGGCCUGGUGCAAAGCCGCGAACGGGUGAGUAACACGUGGGUAACCUGCCCCGAUGAUUGGGACAACCCGAGGAAACUCGGGCUAAUACCGAAUGUGCCCUACAGCCGUAAGGUUGCUGGGGAAAGGAAGCUUCGGCCUCCGCAUCGGGAUGGGCCCGCGGCCCAUUAGCUUGUUGGUGAGGUAAUGGCUCACCAAGGCUACGAUCGGUAGCUGGUCUGAGAGGACGAUCAGCCACACUGGGAUUGAGAACGGCCCAGACUCCUACGGGGGGCAGCAGUGAGGAAUUUUCGUCAAUGGGGGCAACCCUGAACGAGCAACGCCGCGUGCAGGAAGAAGGUUUCGGAUCGUAAACUGCUUUUCUCGGGGAAGAGAACGGACGGUACCCGAGGAAUCGAGCCCCGGCUAACUACGUGCCAGCAGCCGC
rnacentral:rRNA from 1 species